rnacentral:lncRNA from 10 species
CCCCAUUAGAACGUCAACUCCCUCCUUAAAGGCAAGGAUUUUGUGGGUUUUGUUUUGUUUUGUUUUGUUUUCCACUUUAUAGCCCAGUGCCUAGAACACUGCCUGGCACAUAAUAGGUGCUCAGUAAGUAUUUGCUGAAUGAAGGAAUGAGUACAUGAUGGCAAAAGGUAGACAACAACGGCUCCAGGCCCAUGCUGCACGAGCUUCAAGUCCAGCUGAAACACUUCUCUUUCAGCUGGGCGCGGUAGCUCAUGCCUAUAAUCCCAGCACUUUGGGAGGCUGAGGCUGGCAGAUCACUUGAGGUCAGGAGUUCAAAACCAGCCUGAUCAACAUGGUGAAACCCUGUCUCUACUAAAAAUACAAAAAAAUUAGCCAGGCAUGGUGGCAGGUGCCUGCAAUCCCAGCUACUUGGGAGGCUGUGGCACAAGAAUAGCUUGAGCCUGGGAGGCAGAGGUUGCAGUGAGCCGAGAUCGCUCCACUGCAGUCCAGCCUGGGCAACAGAGCAAGACUCCGCCUCAAAAGCAAAAAACAAAAAAACUUCUCUUUCCCAGUGUUCUGGAAAAAGUACAGAAUUGAAUCCUUGGAGUGGAGCACACUGAUUGUCCAGGCCUGGGUCGGAUGCCUGUAUUUAAAUCCAGAAGUAGGCUCAGCCCCAUCUAAACCAUGUGAGCUGACACUGAGCCAGGAGUCUUCUCUACAAAAACUGUGAUGCUGUUACAGGGGCAGAGGAAAUGGGAGCCAGAGGUAAAUGCUCCGUGGAAACACAUGGCUGGUUGCAGUAAAGACUACAUUUCCCAGCCUCCCUUGCAGCAAGAAGCGGCCAUGUGACUGAGGUAUGGCCAAUGAGAUGUGAGCAGAACAUGGGACAGCAAACAAGGUGAUCAGCCAUUUGGACCUCUGGAUGGGGUCCACAUGCUGGUGAGAAUGGGACAACAAGUUAGGGGCCCAAGCCUCUGACAACUUUCUGGUACAGAGCCACCGCCCAGCUCAGACAUCCCUGUGAAAAACAAAUAAACGC